rnacentral:rRNA from 1 species
GACGAACGCUGGCGGUGUGCUUAACACAUGCCAGUCGAACGGAAAGGCCCUGCUUUUGUGCGGUCCUCGAAUGGCGAACGGGUGAGUAACACGUGAGUAACCUGCACUUGACUUUGGGAUAACUUCAUGCAACUGGGGCUAAUACCGGAUAGGAGCUCUUGCUGAAUGGUGGGGGUCGGAUAGUUACGACGGUUGGGGAUGGAAUCGCGGCUUAUCAACUUGUUAGUGGGGUGGCGGAGUACCAAAGCGGUGACGGUUAGCCGGGCUGUGAGCGUGAGCGGCCACACUGGGGCAGAGAGACGGCCCAGACUCCUAUGGGAGGCAGCAGUGGGGAAUAUUGCACGAUGGGCGGGAGCGUGAUGCAGAAACGCCGCGUGCGGGAUAACGGCCUUCGGGUUGUAAACCGCUUUCGCCUGUGACGAAGCCUGAAUGACGGUAAUUGAUAAAGAAGCACCGGCUAACUACGUG